rnacentral:lncRNA from 1 species
UCAUAAGGAAAAGGGCAAAAGAUCUGCAAUGUUGAAGAUAAUGAUUGUCUUGGAAUAUCGAUACCUUAUGGAGUAUGUGAUAUAUAUGCUUUCAGGGAUUGUUUCUGUGAGUCAAGAGGUGUGAUGUUUCAGCAUUCAAGGUCUGUUAUUUUUGUGGGCCAAGAACAGGCACUGUUGCCCUCUCACAGAUGUUUUAGUUUUGGCUAAAGCUUAAUUGAAUACUGGUAGACUUUAUCUUUUCUUGUUGCAAUAUGAUGGAGAUUGAUGGAUUUUGCUGGAUUGCUGGUUUUGAUUGCAGGUGGAAAGAAAAGCAUCUGGAAAUCUGAUAGUUGGAAAUGUUCUCUUCUAGUGGAUCACUCCCCCAAACCUCAGGUUUGAUGCAGAACUCUUCUCAAGGCCAUUUUGUAAUGGUCACUUGAAAAGUUGCUUCUACUUCCUUUUUGUAAUGGUCACUUGAAAAGUCUCUAUCUGCAAUCAUUUCGCGAAAUGUUUGAUUCUCAUACUAGGAAAAGGGACAUUUUCUCUUGACCAAUCAUCUCAUGCACAUGGCCUAGACAAUAACAUGUGAUGACAUGGGCAGCAUGGUUCCAUGACAAAAUCAAAUAUUGUGUGUAGUGCAAAUAUGGUGUAUAGGAUUUUGUUUUCACUUUUAGAUUAUCUUGAAGAAAGAGCGUACUGCAUUGGAUAUAUUUUCAUAUGCUUUCAUCUCUUAGUAAUGGAAUUGAAUUAUUUUAUACUAGAAUAAGACCAUUUAGAUUGUCCUUACUGUCAAAAUUGAUCCAAGCCUUAAGGUUGAGGUCAGUCCAUUUCUGGUAGAUCAUUGCAUUUUGAGAAUCAGAUCUUUAAGGAGGUGGAUAUUCUUUCACGGUGAUUUUUCUUAAGAUGGGUCUUGUAAAUCGAAGGGUCACUUGUAAAACUAGUGUCGAGAGUGAAUUCGGUAUGGUUACUCCAACACUCAAAUUAAUUUAAGAUAUUACACGAGAAU